UACAGAGGUCCCGAGCGUUGUUCGGAUUCAUUGGGCGUAAAGGGUGCGUAGGCGGCUUCCUAAGUUUGAUGUGAAAUCCCGGGGCUCAACCCUGGAAUUGCAUUGAAUACUGGGAGGCUAGAGUACUGGAGAGGAAACUGGAAUUUACGGUGUAGCAGUGAAAUGCGUAGAGAUCGUAAGGAACACCAAAGGCGAAGGCAGUGUCCUGGGGAGUACCUGACGCUCAGGUGCGAAAGCCAGGGGAGCGAACGGG
rnacentral:rRNA from 1 species